UACGUAGGGUGCGAGCGUUAAUCGGAAUUACUGGGCGUAAAGCGUGCGCAGGCGGUCUGCUAAGACAGGUGUGAAAUCCCUGGGCUCAACCUAGGAAUUGCGCUUGUGACUGGCAGGCUAGAGUACGGUAGAGGGGGGUGGAAUUCCUGGUGUAGCAGUGAAAUGCGUAGAGAUCAGGAGGAACACCGAUGGCGAAGGCAGCCCCCUGGGCCUGUACUGACGCUCAGGCACGAAAGCGUGGGGAGCAAACAGG
rnacentral:rRNA from 1 species